AUUGAACGCUGGCGGCAGGCCUAACACAUGCAAGUCGAACGAGUGGCGGACGGGUGAGUAAUGUCUGGGAAACUGCCUUAGGGAGGGGGAUAACUACUUGAAACGCUAGCUCAUACCGCAUCCCAUCAGAUGGGCCAAGAUGGGAUUAGCUCGUAGGUGUGGUAACGGCUCACCUAGGCGACGAUCCCUAGCUGGUCUGAGAGGAUGACCAGCCGCACUGGGUCGGAGACCGGGUCCAGGAUCCGACGGAGGUCAGCAGGGGGGAAUAUUGCACAAUGGGCGCGAGCCUGAUGAAGCCAUGCCGCGUGUAUGAAGAAGGCCUUCCGGGUGUAAAGUACUGUCAGCGGGGAGGCGUUACCCGCAGGAGAAGCACCAGCUAACUCCGUGCCAGCAGCCGCGGUAAUUC
rnacentral:rRNA from 1 species